ACGUGUUUCCGCUCAGCGUAAAGUGUGCUCAUGCAAAGCUAGCGGAACAUGUUGAUGUUUUAUGUGCGUUUUGAUGGAAGAAUCGUCCUAUAAACAUGUUUACAUGGCCGUGGAGGCUUAAACGUUUACAAUAAUUGUUAGUGUAAUUGUAAAGCAGCUGCUGGAGCUGAAUUAGUUAACUCACAACCAUAACAACAACAACAACGUAAGUGGAGCGAAUUGAAAGACGGCACCAUGGCUAAUCUAGAGCAGUGGGUGAAUGACCGUCUCCAUGACAUCUUGGGCUUGAGUGACAGAUAUGUGUCUCAGUUCAUGAUUGGCACUGCACGGAAAGCACAGACAGCUCAAGAUUUUGUGGCUCGCCUCGAGCAGACGGGCACAAUUGAUGUUGACCAGAGUGUGAUUGCCUUUGCACAAGAGCUUUUUGACAAGAUUCCGGGCAAGCCGGUUGUUGAGAAAGCGUCCCGGGCGAUUGAACGUGAAGCCAUUGAAAUGGACAGGAAGAAUCGGACAUACACGUUACUGGAAGACAGCGACAGUGAUGGGGACGCUGUGCAGGACAAACAGAAAGGGAAAAGGAAAAGUAAGGACAGAGGAGACAGGAGGAAGCACAUCAGACAGAAGAAGAAGAAUGAGUCGUCUAGUGAGGAUGAAGUACCUAAAAGAGGCAGUUCAUCCCAGUCCAUGAAGAAUGAGGAAGAGGAGGAGGAAGAAUGGGAGAAGGAAGAGCGCGAGCGAUUGCAGGACAUCGAAGAAAGAGAUGCUUUUGCUGAGCGAGUGAGACAGAAAGACAAAGAAAAGACACGCAACAUAGCAGAGAGGACUGACAAAAAGGCCUACGAGGAGGCUCAGAAGAGGCUGAAGAUGGCUGAAGAAGAUCAGAAUAAAAUGCUGCCAGAGUUGAGAAAGCGUUCUCGCUGGGAUUAUCUAAAAAAGAGAGAAGCAGAGAAGAUUGAGGACCUGGAGGCAGAAAUCAUUGAUGAGGAGUACCUCUUCAAUACAGACGAGCUGAAUGAGCGGGAGAGAAAAGACUUGGAUUACAAACGCACCCUUCGAGACCUGGCUAAAGAUUACAAGAAGGCUGGAGCCAAGGAACAUGAGGAGAGGAAGAACAGAUACUACAUGCCGGAGGAGAAGAGAGGAAAGGAGGUGCCCCAGAGAGACCUGGAGCUGGAGGAAAUUCCCAUGGAGUUAGGAGGGGAACAAGGUCGUUGGGAGGAAGAGAGGCUGAAGACGGCCUCCCUCAGCUUUGGGGCAAAGAAAGAACGAGAGCAAAGGAUGAGGCGGGAGCAGGAGAAGUACCAGCUGGUCCUGGAGGAGGAUGAGAUGAUCAACUUUGUCAGCGCUGCCAUCACUAUGAAGGGAACGGCAGAAAAGGAUCAAGAGGAACCGGCUCUGUCUCAGAUGGAGCUGCAGAAACAGUCCCUGCAGGAGGUCAGACGCAGCCUUCCCAUCUUUCCUUACAGAGGAGACCUGCUUGCUGCGAUUCACCAGCACCAGAUCCUGGUCAUUGAAGGGGAGACAGGUUCUGGAAAAACCACCCAGAUCCCACAGUACCUCCUUGAAGACGGCUUCACUGAAGGUGGCAUGAAGAUCGGAUGCACACAGCCGCGCAGAGUGGCAGCCAUGUCUGUUGCAGCCAGAGUGGCACAGGAAAUGAGUGUCAAGCUUGGCAAUGAGGUUGGAUACAGCAUUCGCUUUGAGGACUGCACGUCAGAAAAAACCAUCCUAAAGUACAUGACAGAUGGCAUGCUGCUGCGAGAGUUUCUUACUGAGCCUGACCUGGCCAGCUACAGCGUGGUCAUCAUCGAUGAGGCCCACGAGCGAACGCUUCACACAGACAUCCUGUUUGGUUUGAUAAAGGACAUCGCCAGGUUCAGACCCGACUUGAAGGUGCUGGUGGCCAGUGCCACCCUCGACACUGAACGCUUCUCCUGCUUUUUCGACGACGCGCCCGUCUUUAGGAUUCCUGGCAGGAGGUUCCCUGUCGACAUCUUCUACACUAAAGCUCCAGAGGCAGACUAUCUGGAAGCGUGUGUGGUUUCAGUUCUACAGAUCCACGUCACCCAGGCUACUGGAGACAUUCUGGUCUUUCUCACUGGACAGGAGGAGAUCGAAGCAUGUUGCGAGUCGCUGCAGGAAAGAUGCAGACGACUAGGAUCGAAGAUCGCUGAGCUGCUGAUUCUUCCUAUAUAUGCCAACCUGCCGUCAGAAAUGCAGACAAAGAUCUUUGAACCCACUCCGCCUGGAGCCCGUAAAGUGGUGGUGGCGACCAACAUAGCAGAAACCUCACUGACCAUAGAUGGGAUUAUCUAUGUCAUUGAUCCAGGGUUCUGCAAGCAGAAAAGUUACAAUGCCCGCACUGGCAUGGAGUCGCUCAUCGUUACACCCUGCUCACGGGCUUCAGCCAACCAGAGAGCAGGGCGUGCAGGCAGGGUGGCUGCUGGGAAAUGUUUCAGGCUUUACACCGCCUGGGCCUUUAAACAUGAAAUGGAAGAAACGACUGUACCUGAGAUUCAGAGGACCAACCUCGGAAAUGUCGUCCUGCUGCUGAAGAGUCUUGGCAUCAAUGACCUCAUCCACUUUGACUUCAUGGACCCUCCACCUCAUGAAACGCUGGUGUUGGCACUGGAGCAGCUUUACGCCUUGGGAGCCCUCAAUCAUCUGGGGGAGCUCACCAAGCUCGGUCGAAGGAUGGCUGAGUUACCUGUGGACCCCAUGCUGAGCAAGAUGAUCCUGGCCUCUGAGCAGUACAAAUGCUCAGAGGAGGUGUUGACAAUAGCAGCCAUGCUGUCUGUGAACAACUCUAUUUUCUACCGACCCAAAGACAAGGUUGUACACGCCGACAAUGCCAGGAUGAACUUUGUGGUGCCGGGGGGAGACCACCUGGUGCUGCUCAAUGUCUACACGCAGUGGGUGGAGAGCAACUUCUCUACUCAGUGGUGCUACGAGAACUUCAUCCAGUUUCGCUCCAUGAAGAGGGCGCGGGAUGUCCGGGACCAGCUGGAGGGCCUGAUGAGCCGUAUUGAGGUGGAGGUGGUCAGCUCCCAGGGAGACGGUGUGCCUAUUCGCAAGGCGGUGACGGCAGGAUAUUUCUAUCACACAGCACGACUCAGCAAAGGCGGCUACAAGACAGUGAAGCACCAGCAGACGGUCUACGUUCACCCCAACAGCUCUCUGUUUGAGGAGCAGCCUCGCUGGCUCAUCUACCACGAGCUGGUCUUCACCACCAAAGAGUUCAUGAGACAGGUGAUCGAGAUAGACAGUGGCUGGCUGCUUGAAGUGGCUCCUCACUACUAUAAAAGCAAGGAGCUUGAAGACAGCAGCAGCAAGAAGAUGCCCCGCAAGCAGGGCAAAACCAAAGAGGAGCUGGGCUGAAGAGAGGAGCCACACUCAGGUUCCAGUGGACAGAGUUCACUUCAACUGUUGUUGUGAACCACGCCCUUUUCUUCAAACACGCUAUGAUGUCACGACUGUUGAUGACAAUAAAACUGGGACAAACGCUGGCUCUUGACAUGUGGUCCAGCUGGUCCAACAGGUCUGACGAGAGGAAGAGGAGGGAGAGCAGGAGGCGGCGAGGAGAAAGAGGAGGGCUUCACAGAGGAGGCACUGCUGCAUUCAGACACCACAG